rnacentral:rRNA from 1 species
CAAGUCGAACGCGAAAGUCCCCUUCGGGGGGCGAGUAGAGUGGCGUCCGGGUGAGUAACACGUAGGUAAUCUACCUUCGGGUGGGGAAUAACGCAGGGAAACUUGCGCUAAUACCGCAUAAUGCAGCGGCACCACAUGGUGACAGUUGUUAAAGCGGGGGAUUUUCGAACCUCGCGCCUGAAGAGGAGCCUGCGGCAGAUUAGCUAGUUGGUAAGGUAACGGCUUACCAAGGCGACGAUCUGUAGCCGGCCUGAGAGGGCGGUCGGCCACACUGACACUGACAUACGGGUCAGACUCCUACGGGAGGCAGCAGUCGGGAAUUUUGGGCAAUGGGCGAAAGCCUGACCCAGCAACGCCGCGUGAAGGAUGAAAUCCCUCGGGAUGUAAACUUCGCAAGAAUAGGAAGAAUUAGCGAGUACUAAUACUGCUCGUGAUGACGGUACUAUUUGUAAGCUCCGGCUAACUCCGUGCCAGCAGCCGCGGUAAUACGGGGGGAGCAAGCGUUGUUCGGAUUUACUGGGCGUAAAGGGCGCGUAGGCGGUCAGCACAAGUCAGUUGUGAAAUCUCCGGGCUUAACUCGGAAAGGUCAACUGAUACUGUGCGACUAGAGUGCGGAAGGGGCAACUGGAAUUCUCGGUGUAGCGGUGAAAUGCGUAGAUAUCGAGAGGAACACCUGCGGCGAAGGCGGGUUGCUGGGCCGUCACUGACGCUGAUGCGCGAAAGCCAGGGGAGCGAACGGGAUUAGAUACCCCGGUAGUCCUGGCCUUAAACGAUGGAUGCUUGGUGUCUGGAGUUUUAUAGUCUCCGGGUGCCGCAGCUAACGCGUUAAGCAUCCCGCCUGGGGAGUACGGUCGCAAGACUGAAACUCAAAGGAAUUGACGGGGACCCGCACA